UUACUUUGGCUUCCCUCCAGGCAUGCUAUUAUCCUCUCUACACACAUUUUCCACGAAAUGUCGAAAAUAUUUGUGGAAAACGUUCAAUAAUAUUAUUCAAGAUUAGGUAUUCAAGUAUUCAGACGUUCCUGAGUACUGAUACAGAGCUCAUUCUCGAGGCAGCUAAUGAAGCACACAUGAAGGAUGGAACACUACUGGAAAAUCUGUCUGAAAGGAUCUUGAGCACACUCAGUGCAACACCAUCUAGGAAAGAAGAGACCGUGUGAUCUGUGGCCUGAUCAUAUCCCCCGGCGAGAGAGUUGAAGAUCUUAUCACAGAAUACAAGGAUGCUGACAACACCAUGAUCCGAGAGGACCUCGUUCAGCAUGUGAUCAAGGAGCACUGUGAAGGAUCUGCAUCGAAGGAGCAGAGGUCCUGGCUGGUAUUCCCAGUCUUACACAGUCAUGUAACUUGCUUAUGGGCCUCAGAUUUAAGCCAUAGAUAAGGUACCCCAAAGAACUGAAGUAUACCUUUUGAGGUGGUCCAACAAGUAUUCUUUGAACUUGAUGAUCUUAGGACAUCCCUAUGGGUCCAAGCUCUAAAAAUGAAGUUACUUGUUUUCAGAGAUAUCUGAGAACUCUCAAAUGGCCACUCACAAACUGUGGUCUAAACCCUACUCAGUAAGGUGAAAAGCUAGGUAGUAUAGGAGCUACAGUUUACAUGAUGCUCUUUGUCAGGUGAAGUCAUAAGAGACAUUGUGAAUUUCUGUUUUAAAAAACUUUGUUAUAAAACUUACUCCAUAUGCACUAGUGGAUAUCUGAGUUUUUUUUGUCAGGUGCAAGCUAUCUGGAUGUAACUUUACCUAAGGAGGCAAAGUAUAGUUAUAUACCCAGAAUGCUUACAGAUGAUUGUCACGGCUGGCU